UGGGAGAGACUGGGAUGGACUGGGAUGGACUGGGAUAAACUGGGAUUGGAUUGGGAUUGAACUGGGAUAGACUGGGAAGGGAACUGGGAUUGAACUGGGAGCCAAGAGCGGGGCCCGGUUCCAGUUCCGGGAGAGCUGCGAGAAGGAGACAAAGGUGUUCACCUUCGAGCUCUCCAUCUCCAAGGUGGUCCCCGGUGACCGGGGCGAUUAUCGCUGUGAGGUCACGGCCAAGGACAAGAAGGACAGCUGCUCCUUCAACAUUGAUGUCGAGGGUACGCCCCAAAAACCCCCAAAUCACCCCAAAAUCCACCUGGGGACCCCAAAAUCCACCUGGGAACCCCAAAAUCCACCUGGGGACCCCAAAAUCCACCCCAAAACUCAGCUGGGAACCCCAAAACUCACCUGGGGACAGGGGUGAGGUCACGGCCAAGGACAAGAAGGACAGCUGCUCCUUCAAUUUCCAUGUCGAGGGUGCACCCCAAAAACCUCCAAAAUCACCCCAAAAUACACCUGGAAACCCCAAAACUCACCUGGGAACCCCAAAAUCCACCUGGGAACGCCAAAAUCCACCCCAAAACUCAGCUGGGGACCCCAAAACUCACCUGGGGACAGGGGUGAGGUCACGGCCAAGGACAGCUGCUCCUUCAACAUCGACGUCGAGGCCGGACGCCCCUCGGGCUCGGACAACGUCCUGCAGGCCUUCAAGAGAUCGUGAGUGUGGAGACCCCUCCCCAAAAUCCCACCAGGGACCCCCAAAAUCCCACCUGGGACCCCCAAAAUCCUGCCUGGGACCCCAAAAACCUCCUCAAAAUCCCACUGGGGACCCCAAAAUCCCACCUGGGACCCCCAAAAUCCUGCCUGGGACCCCAAAAACCUCCUCAAAAUCCCACCUGGGACCCCAAAA
rnacentral:lncRNA from 1 species